CCUACGGGAGGCCGCAGUGGGGAAUAUUUGGCAAUGGGCGCAAGCCUGCCCCAGCAACGCCGCGUGAAGGAAGAAGGCUUUCGGGUUGUAAACUUCUUUUGACAGGGAAGAGUAGCAUACGGUACCUGUCGAAUAAGCCACGGCUAACUACGUGCCAGCAGCCGCGUUAAUACGUAGGUGGCAAGCGUUUUCCGGAUUUACUGGUUGUAAAGGGCGUGUAGCCGGGUUGACAAGUCAGAUGUGAAAUACUGCGGCUUAACCGCAGAACUGCAUUUGAAACUGUUGAUCUUGAGUACUGUAGAGGCAGACGGAAGUCCUAGUGUAGCGGUGAAAUGCGUAGAUAUUAGGAGGAACAGCAGUGGCGAAGGCGGUCUGCUGGACAGCAACUGACGGUGAGGCGCGAAAGCGUGGGGAGCAAACAGGAUUAGAUACCCCUGUAGUC
rnacentral:rRNA from 1 species